GGACCCGUAGCUCAGCUUGGUAGAGCACUGGCCUUUUAAGCCAGGUGUCGCGAGUUCAAAUCUCGUCGGGUCCA
rnacentral:tRNA from 1 species